CUCUGUGACUCCUACGGGAGGCAGCAGUGGGGAAUAUUGCACAAUGGGCGCAAGCCUGAUGCAGCCAUGCCGCGUGUAUGAAGAAGGCCUUCGGGUUGUAAAGUACUUUCAGCAGUGAGGAAGGUUCAUGCGUUAAUAGCGUAUGGAUUUGACGUUAGCUGCAGAAGAAGCACCGGCUAACUCCGUGCCAGCAGCCGCGGUAAUACGGAGGGUGCGAGCGUUAAUCGGAAUUACUGGGCGUAAAGCGCAUGCAGGUGGUUUGUUAAGUCAGAUGUGAAAGCCCGGGGCUCAACCUCGGAAUUGCAUUUGAAACUGGCAGACUAGAGUACUGUAGAGGGGGUAGAAUUUCAGGUGUAGCGGUGAAAUGCGUAGAGAUCUGAAGGAAUACCGGUGGCGAAGGCGGCCCCCUGGACAGAUACUGACACUCAGAUGCGAAAGCGUGGGGAGCAAACAGGAUUAGAUACCCUGGUAG
rnacentral:rRNA from 1 species